AGCGAACGCUGGCGGCAGGCCUAACACAUGCAAGUCGAACGAACACGUCGGGGUUAGUGGCGGACGGGUGAGUAACACGUGGGAACGUGCCUUUAGGUUCGGAAUAACUCAGGGAAACUUGUGCUAAUACCGAAUGUGCCCUUCGGGGGAAAGAUUUAUCGCCUUUAGAGCGGCCCGCGUCUGAUUAGCUAGUUGGUGAGGUAAUGGCUCACAAAGGCUACGAUCAGUAGCUGGUCUGAGAGGAUGACAAGCCACAUUGGGACUGAGACACGGCCCAAACUCCGACGGGAGGCAGCAGUGGGGAAUCUUGCGCAAUGGGCGAAAGCCUGACGCAGCCAUGCCGCGUGGAUGAUGAAGGUCUUAGGAUUGUAAAAUCCUUUCACCGGUGAAGAUAAUGACUGUAGCCGGAGAAGAAGCCCCGGCUAACUUCGUGCCAGCAGCCGCCGUAAAAC
rnacentral:rRNA from 1 species